rnacentral:lncRNA from 1 species
AACAAUUUUUAUUCUCUUAUAGUUUAUUUUUUAUUUUCUUUCUUUGUUAUCCAUUAGAUUAUAUUUUUAUUCUAAAAAUUUUUUUAAUAUAUUUUUUAUAUUAUUAACCGAUCAAAUAUUAAUUAUUUUUUACUAUACUUUUAUCUUUUUAUUUGUAUAUUUAAUUUAUAAUUUAUUAUAAUUUUUAUUCGCCGUAUCGCACGAGUUCCUACACUAGUAUAUAUUCGU